UACGGAGGGUGCAAGCGUUAAUCGGAAUUACUGGGCGUAAAGCGUGCGCAGGCGGUUUGUUAAGUCCGUUGUGAAAGCCCCGAGCUCAACUUGGGAAUUGCAGUGGAUACUGGCAGGCUGGAGUACGGUAGAGGAAGGUGGAAUUCCCGGUGUAGCAGUGAAAUGCGUAGAGAUCGGGAGGAACACCGAUGGCGAAGGCAGCCCCCUGGGCCGAUACUGACGCUCAGGCACGAAAGCGUGGGGAGCAAACAGG
rnacentral:rRNA from 1 species